rnacentral:rRNA from 1 species
UCCCGUUGAUCCUGCGGGAGGUUGCUGCUAUUUGGGUUCGACUAAGCCAUGCAAGUCAGAGGGAUUCUUCGGAAUCACAGGCGAAAUGCUCAGUAACACGUCAAUAAUCUGUCCUUAGGUCUGGGAUAACCUUGGUAAACUGAGGCUAAAACCAGAUGGGGAAAAUUAAUUGGAAAAUUAUUUUCCUUAAAAGCAAUGCCUAAGGGUGAGUUGGCGGUGGAUUAGGUUGUUGGUGGUGUAAAGGACCACCAAGCCGACGAUCCAUAGGGGCCUUGAGAGAGGGAGCCCCGAGAAGGACACUGAGACACUGGUCCUAGCCCUACGGGGUGCAGCAGGCGCGAAACCUUUACAAUGCACGCAAGUGUGAUAAGGGAACCCAAAGUGCUCAUGUUUUAACAUGGGCUUUUGCCAAAUGUAAAUAGUUUGGCGAAUAAGUGGUGGGUAAGACGGGUGCCAGCCGCCGCGGUAACACCUGCGCCACGAGUGGGAACCACGAUUAUUGGGCCUAAAGCGUCCGUAGCCGGUUAAGUAAAUUUCUUGUGAAAUCAUUAGGCUUAACUUAAUGGUGUGCAGGAAACACUGCUUAGCUUGGAACUGGGAGGAGCUGGAAGUAUGCAGUGGGGAGCGGUAAAAUGCUAUAAUCCUCUGUAGACUACCUGUGGCGAAGGCGUCCAGCUAGAACAGAUUCGACGGUGAGGGACGAAAGCCAGGGGAGCGAACCGGAUUAGAUACCCGAGUAGUCCUGGCUGUAAACUCUGCGAGCUAGGUGUUGCAUAUCCGAUAGGAUAUGCAGUGUCGAAGAGAAGUCGUUUAGCUCGCCGCCUGGGAAGUAUGGUCGCAAGACUGAAACUUAAAGGAAUUGGCGGGGGAGCACCACAAGGGGUGCGGCGUGCGGUUUAAUCUAAUUCAACGCAGAAAAUCUCACCAGAUGCGACGGCAGGAUGAAAGUCGGGCUAAAGACUCUACUUGACGAGCCGAGAGGUAGUGCAUGGCCGCCGUCAGCUCGUGCCGUAAGGUGUCCUGUCAAGUCAGGCAACGAGCGAGACCUACAUCUACAAUUGCUAGCUGGCUCUUUUGAAUGACAGAGCACAUUGUAGGGACUGCCCUGGAAACAGGGAGGAAGGUGUAGGCUACGGUAGGUCUGUAUGCUCCGAAUCUUCUGGGCUACACGCGCGCAACAAUGGUUAAGACAAUGGGUUACGACUCCGAAAGGAGAAGUUAAGCCUCUAAACUUAACCUCAGUUUAGAUUGAGGGUUGCAACUCACCCUCAUGACAAUGGAAUCCCUAGUAAUUGGUCUUCAUCAUGGACCAGUGAAUAUGUCCCUGCUCCUUGCACACACCGCCCGUCAAACCACCCGAGUAGGGUUUAGGUGAGGAUUAGUUUUAAAUUGGUUCAAAUCUAAGCUCCGCGAGGAGGGUUAAGUCGUCACAAGGUA